rnacentral:rRNA from 1 species
AACGAACGCUGGCGGCAUGCUUAACACAUGCAAGUCGAACGAGACCUUCGGGUCUAGUGGCGCACGGGUGCGUAAGGCGUGGGAACCUGCCCUUAGGUUAGGAAUAACUCCCCGAAAGGGGUGCUAAUACCGGAUAAUGUCUUCGGAGCAAAGAUUUAUCGCAUUUGGGUGGGACCGCGUUGGAUUAGGUAGUUGGUAGGGUAAAAGCCUACCAAGGGGACGAUCCAUCGCUGGUCUGAGAGGAUGCUCAGCCACAGUGGGACUGCGACACGGCCCAGACUCCUACGCGAGGCAGCAGUGUAGAAUAUUGGACAAUGGGCGAAAGCCUGAUCCAGCAAGGCCGCGUGAUUGAUGAAUGCCUUAGGGUUGUAAAGCUCUUUUACCCGGGAUGAUAAUAACGGUACCAGAAGAAGAAGCUCCGCCUAACUCCGU